UACGGAGGGGGCUAGCGUUGUUCGGAAUUACUGGGCGUAAAGCGCACGUAGGCGGCUUUGUAAGUUAGAGGUGAAAGCCCGGGGCUCAACUCCGGAAUUGCCUUUAAGACUGCAUCGCUAGAAUUGUGGAGAGGUAAGUGGAAUUCCGAGUGUAGAGGUGAAAUUCGUAGAUAUUAGGAAGAACACCAGUGGCGAAGGCGGCUCACUGGCCCGGUACUGACGCUGAGACGCGAAAGCGUGGGGAGCGAACAGG
rnacentral:rRNA from 1 species